AUUUUUUCAGACAGGGCACACACAGUCCUGUUUCCUUUGUGGGAAAACCUUCGAACUUCACCAUCCUCAGCUGAAACAACAACAUCUUAACACCAUCUUCAUGAACUGCUGAGCCAAACCUGAUCCAUCAGUGCUGGACUGCACAGAUAACUACACGCCACAAGGAGACUGCUGUGUUAUGAACUGCCAUACCAGUGUGUCUUCAAUGGAGAAGAUGACACACCCAUCACCUGACCUCCUGCCUGAUCUGGAGACCAUCACCAUGCUGCCACACUACACACCUCUGAGACGAUCAAUGAUGACUGAUACUGAGGAAACUGUAUUUCCUGUCAGAGAUGCUCAGUGAUCCUCAGAGCAGAGAGAGGUAUUGCUGUCUUCUGAGUUCUUCAGUGUCCCAACUGAAACAUUCAAACCUCAUUGCAGAGCUCAUGUCUUUCCUCACCAUCAUGUGAGUGUGAGAUUGCUCUGGAUUCUGGUUAUGUGGCCUGCAGCACCUAUAAGAACAAGCUCGUCCUGUGUGCCUGCAUUCCAGCUUCUUAGACUCUACGCAAGUGGACAGAGUAUCAGUGCUUGGCCACUCUUACAGACACCGACUUCUGUCAACUCACUGCUACUGAUCAGGCACCUCACUCCAGGAAGACAGAGGGCUGCAAGCCUGUUAUCGUUUCCAGUGUGGCUUUGUAUUCUUGGGGUAGUAUCAGAUUUUUCCCACAAAUAUUCAAAGGUAACACUUAUUUUAAGCUUAGUUAUUAAAUCAAAAGUCUUCCCUUGUGUUAAUUUUUUUUUUUUUUUAUUUAUUUUUUUCUUUUACAUUUAUAUGCAGUGAUCGGAUGUGGUGGAGCUUUGUUAACUGUGUGGAAAACAUCUGUUUUACAAUGAGGUUUUAAGGUGACAGUUUCCAUGUAAUUUCAAUCAUUUGACUAAGCAAAAACAUGUUUGCAAUUAACAUAUUUUUUUCAGUUUUGUCUUUUGGAUUUAUGUUAACAUUCCUCUGUGACAGCAAAUACUAAACUGGUCCAAGUAACCAGCAUAUCAUUGGUCAAAGACAAAAAGGACCACAUGUCACACUAGCAAUGAAUUUUUGACUGUGUUUGUGUCACCAGAUUUAACAAACAAUAUCAGACAUAUGAAACUGAACUCUGGAUUAAUGUGCAGAUGGGUUUUUUUGUGUUUUUUUUUUAUUGUUGAAUAAUUAUUUUGUAGGACAAACCCAAUCUAUUUACCCAAACAAUGUAACUUGUUUGGGUAAAUAGUGGAUUAAUAUAUCUAAGUCUAUAAGUAUAGCAAGCUGAAUUCAUACAAACACACAGCUCUAAAUCUUGAAUUGUAGGAUGUACAAAAAUGAUCAUGUGAUUAUUAUGGACAUUUAAAUAACUAUAUCUAUUGAACCAUUACACAUAUUCUUUAUAGAAAUUACACAAUCUCAAAAUGUGAAAAAAGAAAAUGUUUAAGAGAACAAAUAAUGUGUGUUUGUAUGAAUCCUGCCUUAGUAUGGGGUGUCAGUAACUACAUUAGUAUAGACUAGGUCUAACAGUGGUUUUCCACAUCUGCUCUAAUAUGUAUAGAUAAUGGGUCAGACAUAUAAAGUCAUUUUGAAAAGUUCAUAAAGGUCACAUCCAUUUAUAUGUGUUUCUCUUUAUCAUUUUAUAUCAGGUCACACAGCUGACUUGAGUUUUGAUCAGAGUAGAACCAUAACAUUCAUGCUAAUGGUUCUACUGUUUACAGUUACUUUAUGAUGGAUUUCAUCCUGGUCACAGCACUAUGUGAAAAGCUGUUAGAGGUAAAGUUAACCCAAUUAAUACCUCAUCAUAAGUCACUCUUUAACGCAAAGCAGUGAUUAUUUUCACUGUAAUUUAUUCCACAAUAAUGUUCUUUAUUUGAUCCCUGUUUCUUUAAAUAUGCACAUCGAUUGUUCAGCUGUGUGACUCUCUACACCUCAAAUAUAUCACAAUGUGGACUUCAUUUCGACAGUAUUUUGUAGAUUGGUACCAUAUUUAUCAUAAAAUCAGGAAACUGUAAACUAAUUGAAAAAAUGAAGCUUCUGAAAAUUUUUAAUGUGGCAUUGGAACAUGUUGUUUAUCCUUGCCAAAUGGUAUUUCCACAAAAC
ensembl:lncRNA